CACGUAGUUAGCCGGCGCUUUUUCUGUAAGUACCGUCACUUUCGCUUCUUCCUUACUAAAAGGGGUUUACAACCCGAAGGCCUUCAUCCCCCACGCGGCGUCGCUGCAUCAGGCUUUCGCCCAUUGUGCAAUAUUCCCCACUGCUGCCUCCCGUAGGAGUCUGGGCCGUGUCUCAGUCCCAGUGUGGCCGGUCGCCCUCUCAGGCCGGCUACCCGUCGUCGCCUUGGUGAGCCAUUACCUCACCAACAAGCUGAUAGGCCGCGAGUCCAUCCCAGACCAAUAAAUCUUUCCAAAGCUUCAGAUGCCUGAGCUUUUCGUAUCCGGUAUUAGCCCCGGUUUCCCGAGGUUAUCCCAGAGUCUGGGGCAGGUUACUCACGUGUUACUCACCCGUUCGCCACUGAUCCACAAGAGCAAGCUCUCGCUUCACCGUUCGACUUGCAUGUGUUAAGCACGCCGCCAGCGUUCGUCCUGAGCCAGGAUCAAACUACU
rnacentral:rRNA from 1 species